AGGUGCUGCAUGGUUGUCGUCAGCUCGUGCCGUGAGGUGUCGGGUUAAGUCCCAUAACCGAGCGCAACCCCUACCUUUAGUUGCCAUCAGGUUAAGCUGGGACUCUAAAGGAACUGCCUACGCAAGUAGUGAGGAAGCGGGGAUGACGUCAAAUCAGCACGGCCCUUACGUCCAGGGCUACACACGUGCUACAAUGGCCGAUACAGAGGGCAGCUACCUGGUGACAGGAUGCAAAUCUCCAAAGUCGGUCUCAGUUCGGAUCGGAGUCUGCAACCCGACUCCGUGAAGUUGGAUUCGCUAGUAAUCGCGCAUCAGCCAUGGCGCGGUGAAUACGUUCCCGGGCCUU
rnacentral:rRNA from 1 species